rnacentral:rRNA from 1 species
UCCUAGCCUUUUAAUUGGAGGCCUGCAUGAAUGGCUUGACGAGCGCCCUGCUGUCUCUCUUCCCAUGAACUUUUAAAUUAACUUUCGCGUGCAAAGGCGCGAAUGGCUGAGUUAGACGAAAAGACCCUAUGCAUCUUUACUGAGAGAGAAGAAAGUUCUUUAGCUUGGUUUAGCUGGGGCAGCUGAGGAAAAGGCAAAAUUUCCUUAAUAUAAGUUAUACUGGUGGGUUUAGAUCCAGGCUCUUUAGCGGGCUUGACAAGUAGAAAAGUUACGCUAGGGAUAACAGCGUUAUCCUUCUGUGGAGGUCUUAUCUGCAGGAGGGAUUGCGACCUCGAUGUUGAAUUAGGGAUAUACCAGAAAGGCGCAGAAGCUUUUAUUGUGG